UACGGAGGAUGCGAGCGUUAUCCGGAUUUAUUGGGUUUAAAGGGUGCGCAGGCGGAGGUGCAAGUCAGCGGUCAAAUUGCGGGGCUCAACCCCGUACUGCCGUUGAAACUGCAUCCCUUGAGUGCGCGAGAAGUAUGCGGAAUGCGUGGUGUAGCGGUGAAAUGCAUAGAUAUCACGCAGAACUCCGAUUGCGAAGGCAGCUUACCAGUCUGCGACUGACGCUCAGGCACGAAAGUGUGGGUAUCGAACAGG
rnacentral:rRNA from 1 species